rnacentral:rRNA from 1 species
UACAGAGGGGGCAAGCGUUGUUCGGAAUUACUGGGCGUAAAGGGCGCGUAGGCGGCCUUCUAAGUCGAACGUGAAAUCCCUGGGCUCAACCCAGGAACUGCGUCCGAUACUGGGAGGCUUGAAUCCGGGAGAGGGAUGCGGAAUUCCAGGUGUAGCGGUGAAAUGCGUAGAUAUCAGGAGGAACACCGAUGGCGAAGGCAGGUCUCUGGGCCACUACUGACGCUGAGAAGCGAAAGCAUGGGGAGCGAACAGG